rnacentral:rRNA from 1 species
UACGAGUGGUCCAAGCGUUAUCCGGAAUUAUUGGGCGUAAAGAGUGCGUAGGUGGACAUGUUAGUCAGUAGUUUAACCCAUGAGCUCAACUUGUGGAUUGCUAUUGAAACGUCAUGUCUUGAGUAUGUUAGGGGUAUGCGGAACUAUAUGUGUAGGGGUGAAAUCCGUUGAUAUAUAUGGGAACACCAAAAGCGAAGGCAGCAUACUGGAACAUUACUGACACUGAGGCACGAAAGCGUGGGUAGCGAAUGGG